ACGUACCACCCGAACGUUAUUCGGAUUUACUGGGCUUAAAGAGUCAGUAGGCGGCCAGGUAAGUUGGAUGUGGAAUACCUCGGCCUAACCGAGGAACAGCAUUCAAAACUACUUGGCUUGAGAGAGACAGAGGUGAGCGGAACUGAUGGUGGAGCGGUGAAAUGCGUUGAUAUCAUCAGGAACACCGGUGGCGAAAGCGGCUCACUGGGUCUCUUCUGACGCCAAGGGACGAAAGCUAGGGGAGCGAACGGGAUUAGAUACCCCGGUAGUCCUAGCCUUAAACGAUGAGCACUAGAUCGUAGGGACCUCCACAUCCUUUCGGUCGUAGGGAAACUGUUAAGUGCUCCGCCUGGGGAGUAUGGUCGCAAGGCUG
rnacentral:rRNA from 1 species